rnacentral:rRNA from 1 species
GAUGAACGCUAGCGGCAGGCUUAACACAUGCAAGUCGAGGGGUAUUGGUUUUCGGACCAAGAGACCGGCGCACGGGUGCGUAACGCGUAUGCAAUCUACCUUUUGCAGAGGGAUAGCCCAGAGAAAUUUGGAUUAAUACCUCAUAGUAUAGUACUUUGGCAUCAAGGAACUAUUAAAGUCACAACGGCAAAAGAUGAGCAUGCGUCCCAUUAGCUAGUUGGUAAGGUAACGGCUUACCAAGGCUACGAUGGGUAGGGGUUCUGAGAGGGAGAUCCCCCACACUGGUACUGAGACACGGACCAGACUCCUACGGGAGGCAGCAGUGAGGAAUAUUGGACAAUGGGCGCAAGCCUGAUCCAGCCAUGCCGCGUGCAGGAUGACGGUCCUAUGGAUUGUAAACUGCUUUUAUACAGGAAGAAACACUCCCUCGUGAGGGAACUUGACGGUACUGUAUGAAUAA